CGUCGAGUUGGUUCUGCUGGGUUUUUCUAGUGCUAGUUAACUUCAUCCAAGAAUGCAUGAGAUCGUUCAGAUAACAUCACAAUCAAGAGUACUCAACACGGUUUUUGAAGCUUCACCAGAUCCAAUGGAGUGGUAAAGGAGAAGCAGCGUCCACUGAUGCCAGGGCACUUUCAGGCCAUGACUCUUAAAAAUUUCAGACGGGUUUUAUGAAUUAUGAGCAAACACUGAUUAGAAAUCGACACAGAUGAACUGCAGAAUGAUACUUGACAGAAAAUUUGGCCUAGUCAUGUAUUCAUAUUUUUUGCAGGUACAACGUGGUAAACAACUAAUUGGUAACUAUCUUCUUCAAUCGAUUAUUUCUAAUAUUGAUCUACGAGAAGAUCUUACUGAUGCAGUGAAGGAAUUUGUGAAAUUUUGGUUUAAAA